GCAGCCGUAGAGCGCAUGCGCCAGACUCGGCUCGCCGCUGCCGCUGCUGCUGAGGGUUUGGGAGGCGGUUGCCAUGGAGCCGGCCUGGCGUCAGCAGGGCCGGGGCCGAGGCCGGAGCCAGGAGGGUCACGGUGAAAGGUCACGACCUCCGCAGAAGGAGAGAGAGAGACCUGGAGCUGCUGCAGGAGCGUGGGCGGCGGGACGAGGAGCGAGGACGAAGACCGCCACAGCUCCUGGACCUGAGCCUCCACAGGGUGUGUCCGUCUGUCCUGACAGGUGUGUCCGUCCAGUCCAAGUUCGAGG